GGGAUAACCGCUGAAAGCAUCUAAGCGGGAAGCCCCCCUCAAGAUGAGAUCUCACCAAAUCUUCUAGAUUUCUGAAGGGCCCUCGUAGACGACGAGGUUGAUAGGCAGGGUGUGUAAGCGUCGCAAGGCGUUGAGCUAACCUGUACUAAUUGCCCGUGCGGCUUGACCAU
rnacentral:rRNA from 1 species